CGAAUGCUGACAUAAGUAACGAUAAAGCGGGUGAAAAGCCCGCUCGCCGGAAGACCAAGGGUUCCUGUCCAACGUUAAUCGGGGCAGGGUGAGUCGACCCCUAAGGCGAGGCCGAAAGGCGUAGUCGAUGGGAAACAGGUUAAUAUUCCUGUACUUGGUGUUACUGCGAAGGGGGGACGGAGAAGGCUAUGUUGGCCGGGCGACGGUUGUCCCGGUUUAAGCGUGUAGGCUGGUUUUCCAGGCAAAUCCGGAAAAUCAAGGCUGAGGCGUGAUGACGAGGCACUACGGUGCUGAAGCAACAAAUGCCCUGCUUCCAGGAAAAGCCUCUAAGCAUCAGGUAACAUCAAAUCGUACCCCAAACCGACACAGGUGGUCAGGUAGAGAAUACCAAGGCGCUUGAGAGAACUCGGGUGAAGGAACUAGGCAAAAUGGUGCCGUAACUUCGGGAGAAGGCACGCUGAUAUGUAGGUGAAGUCCCUCGCGGAUGGAGCUGAAAUCAGUCGAAGAUACCAGCUGGCUGCAACUGUUUAUUAAAAACACAGCACUGUGCAAACACGAAAGUGGAC
rnacentral:rRNA from 1 species